AAAUGAAUGAUUUGGCUUCACCCAAAAUGAUGGAUAAUCCUGCUGGAAGAGCAUGACAAUGACAGACAGACAUCUUCUGAAGGAGAAGGUUUUUGAUGCACAGGUAACUCCACCGUAUCUCCUGUUAGAAGUUAAAUGCUGCAAAUUCCAUCUGAGAUGCACUGAGAUAAAAAGUCACUGCCCACCAGGGCUCAUGGGGUGUGCCCUAAGUGUGCCACACGUGGAAGUGCCUUGAAGUUUUCACAGUGCAGGAAAAUGGGGCAGGAGGAUGAUCACUGCAUGCCAAGCAAGGUAAUAUACAUAUUUUGAUCUGUUUUCUGGAACCUCAAAACAUGGAGAUACAGCACCAAUGAGAC